rnacentral:rRNA from 1 species
UACGGGGGGGGCAAGCGUUGUUCGGAAUUACUGGGCGUAAAGGGCUCGUAGGCGGCCAACUAAGUCAGACGUGAAAUCCCUCGGCUUAACCGGGGAACUGCGUCUGAUACUGGAUGGCUUGAGUUCGGGAGAGGGAUGCGGAAUUCCAGGUGUAGCGGUGAAAUGCGUAGAUAUCUGGAGGAACACCGGUGGCGAAGGCGGCAUCCUGGACCGACACUGACGCUGAGGCGCGAAAGCCAGGGGAGCGAACGGG